CUACGGAGGGUCCAAGCGUUAUCCGGAUUCAUUGGGUUUAAAGGGUCCGCAGGCGGGAAAAUAAGUCAGUGGUGAAAGCCUACAGCUCAACUGUAGAACUGCCAUUGAAACUGUUUUUCUUGAGUAUAGAUGAAGUGGGCGGAAUAUAUCAUGUAGCGGUGAAAUGCAUAGAUAUGAUAUAGAACACCGAUUGCGAAGGCAGCUCACUAAACUAUUACUGACGCUGAUGGACGAAAGCGUGGGGAGCAAACAGGAUUAGAUACCCCUGUAGUCC
rnacentral:rRNA from 1 species